CCUACGGGAGGCAGCAGUGAGGAAUAUUGGUCAAUGGGAGAGAUCCUGAUCCAGCCACGCCGCGUGCGGGAAGACGGCCCUAUGGGUUGUAAACCUCUUUUGUCGGAGAACAAAACCCGGGACGUGUCCCGGCCUGCGUGUCUCCGAAGAAAAAGCAUCGGCUAACUCCGGGCCAGCAGCCGCGGUAAUACGGAGGAUGCGAGCGUUCUCCGGAUUUAUUGGGUUUAAAGGGUGCGUAGGCGGUCCGUUAAGUCUGCGGUAAAAUUGCGGGGCUCAACCCCGUCGAGCCGUUGAAACUGGCGGACUUGAGUUGGCGAGAAGUAGGCGGAAUGCGCGGUGUAGCGGUGAAAUGCAUAGAUA
rnacentral:rRNA from 1 species